rnacentral:piRNA from 1 species
CAGGUGAAAUAAACAGCCAUGUUGCUC